AUACCCAUUUUGCCAGCAUUUAUACUGAACUUGGAAUGACACAGGGAAGAUGAGCAUGGCCCCUGAGCAGGUUCAUAAAGCAUGUUCAUGAAGCACACACAGAUUCA
ensembl:snRNA U6 U6 spliceosomal RNA